UACGUAGGGUGCAAGCGUUGUCCGGAAUUAUUGGGCGUAAAGAGCUCGUAGGCGGUCUGUCGCGUCUGCUGUGAAAUCUCAGGGCUCAACCCUGAAACUGCACUUGAUACUGCUCUGCUUGAGGACUGGAGAGGAGAAUGGAAUUCCCGGUGUAGCGGUGAAAUGCGUAGAGAUCGGAAAGAACACCAACGGCGAAAGCACUCUGCUGGGCCGACACUGACACUGAGAGACGAAAGCUAGGGGAGCGAAUGGG
rnacentral:rRNA from 1 species